UUUCUUGGAGACUUUCUGGGAAUCUUUUGGAUUUUCUAAGUAUACAAUAAUAUCAUCAGCAUACAGUGACAAUCUGAUUUCCUUUUUACUGAUCUGGAUGCCCUUAAUAUCCUUCUCUUGUCUGAUUGUUCUGGCUAGGACUUCUGUUACUGUGUUGAAUAGAAAUAGUGAAAGUGGGCAUCCUUGUCUUAUUCCAGUUCUCAGAGGGAAUGCUUUCAACAUUUCCCUGUUCAUUAUUAUGUUGGCCAUGGGUUUAUCAUAAAUGGCUUUUAUUACAUUGAGAUAUGUCUUUAUAUGCUGAUUUUGCUGAGGGUUUUAAUCAUAAAGGGAUGCCAGAUUUUGUGAGAUGCAUUUUCAACAUCUGUUGAGAUGGUCGUGUGAUUUUGUUUUUAAUUCUGUUUAUGUGGUGUAUCACAUUUAUUGAUUUGCAUAUGUUAAACUGCCCUUGCAUCCCUGGUAUGAAACCCACUUGAUCAUGGUGGAUUGUCUUUUUGAUAUGUUGUUGGAUGUGAUUAGCUAGUAUUUCGUUAAGGAUUUUGCAUCUAUUUUCUUCAGGGUUAUUGGUCUAUAGUAUUUUGUGUGUGUCUUAUGUCCUUUCCUGGUUUUGGUAUUAGGGUGAUACUGGCUUCAUAGAAUAAUUUAGAGAGGAUUAUCUCUUUCUGUAUGUUGUAUAAUAGUGUCAAAAGGAUUGGUACGAAUUCUUUGAAUGUCUGGUAGAAUUCAGCUGUGAAUUUAUCUGGUCCUGGAAUUUUAUUAUUGGUAAUUCUUUUAUUACCAUUUCCAUCUCGCUGCUUUUUAUUGAUCUGGUUAGGGUUUCCAAUUCUUCUUGAUUUAAGCUAGGAGGGUUGUAUCUUUCCAGGAAUUUAUCCAUCAUCCUCUAGGUUUUCUAGUUUAUGUGAGUAAAGGUGUUUAUAGUAGCCUUGGGUGAUUUUUGUAUUUCUGUGAUAUCAGUUGUAAUAUCUUCCAUUUCUUUCUAAUUGAGCUUACUUGGAUCUUCACUCUUGGUUAGUCUUGCCAAUGGUGUGUCAAUUUUAUUUAUCUUUUCAAAGAACCAGCUUUUUGUUUCAUUUAUCUUUUGUUUUGUUUUGCUUCAUUUUCAUUUAGUUCCGCUUUGAUCUUGGUUAUUUCCUUUCUUCUGCUGGGUUUGGGUUUGGUUUGUUCUUGUUUCUCUAGUUCCUUGAGGUGUGACCUUAGAUUCUCUAUUUGUGCUCUUCCAGACUUUUGAUGUGGCCAUUUAAGGCCAAGAAGUUUCCUCUUAGCACCACCUUUGCUAUAUCCCAUAGGUUUUGAUAGAUUGUGAUUAUUGUUCAGUUUGAAUAGUUUUUUAAAUUUUCAUCUUGAUUUCAUUGUUGACCCAAUUAUCACUCAGGAGCAGAUUAUUAACGUCCAUGUAUUUGCAUGGUUUUGACGGUUCCUCUUGGAGUUGAU